rnacentral:ncRNA from 1 species
UGACACGGGGUGCCGCAAGCGCGGCUGAGAAAGACCCGCACCACCUGAUCUGGAUCAUGCCAGCGUAGGGAUGUCGACAG